CGUGCUCCCAGUAACCAUGCUGGCAAUCAGCGGCUACGUUACAUUUGUGAAGUCGUAAGCUCCGCGUCACAAUCGUGAGAGGUCCUAUCACGUUGUGGCUGGAUGAUUUCAAGAACUUCUCGUGAACACAACGUCCCACGAACAACAGAAUCGAGGAUCCAGGGAAAACAGUCAGUCAGCGCAGCCGGGUCACCUCCCAGUUUCAAUGUGGAAGGCGAGGUUGUAAGUCGAUGGUCCAUCCUUCAAUCCAUUCGACGAGUUGGGAAGACACGCAUCUAAGCAAUCCACCAACUUGGAACAUGAGGGGGCUUCCAGAAGACACUUGCUCCAUAUGCUCCUCAGAUCUAGGGAUAUACCGUGUUCGUGGCCACUUGAUCGCAUUUUCGAUAUGUCAGCUCGAAGGCAACUAUUUUUGCAAUAAUCAUACGGUAUGAACGAGGGCUGACCACUAAACUUGCACAAUCGCAACACUCCCACUUGGCAAUAAUUCAGUUCCCAUAGCAACACGUAUUGGCAGCAAUGCCCAUGCUGGCCGCGAUGGGUGGUGCUGGUGAAAAGGCUCGCCAUGGCUCGCCAUGGCCAGCCCACUGAGCCACGGGAGGUCGAUGGCGGUUUCUGGCUGCUGCUGCGCCAUCCAAUAGAUGUGCGCGGAUUAGCCUACGCCGUGACCCAUCAUCGCUCCCCCCAUCUAGCCGGAAUGAAAGGCGAGGGUCGAAAUGUGAGAUUCCGCGCAGAGCGACUGAUUUUCGGCUGUGUAAUUUUAAUUUAAAUUUUGCAUCAUCUCCAGAUACAAUAACGCUAAAGAGAUCUUGAAAGAAUAAAAUAUAUACGAGUUGUUACCUCGACUACUGCCAUGGGCACGACAGUUGUGAAAUGGUCGGUGCGUAAACACUACACUUUUUGGACAAUGUAGAACUUGAGUGUGCGACUCGUGGGAGCAUAUCGGCUGCAGUCAUUGGCGAUGAAACACCUUCAUGAUUAUCGGGAAAUAAGUUGGUCGGUGCGUUUGACGGUCACGAAAAAGAGUGUAAAUCAUUUAUACCCAUUCAGUUUCAUCGAAACUAGAACAAAAUAAAUAAAGUA